rnacentral:rRNA from 1 species
GACGAACGCUGGCGGCGUGCUUAACACAUGCAAGUCGAGCGGUAAGGCCCUUUCGGGGGUACACGAGCGGCGAACGGGUGAGUAACACGUGGGUGACCUGCCCUUAGCUCUGGGAUAAGCCUGGGAAACUGGGUCUAAUACCGGAUAUGACUCCAUGACGCAUGUUGUGGGGUGGAAAGCCUUGUGCGGCUAGGGAUGGGCCCGCGGCCUAUCAGCUUGUUGGUGGGGUGAUGGCCUACCAAGGCGACGACGGGUAGCCGGCCUGAGAGGGCGACCGGCCACACUGGGACUGAGACACGGCCCAGACUCCUACGGGAGGCAGCAGUGGGGAAUCUUGCGCAAUGGGCGAAAGCCUGACGCAGCGACGCCGCGUGGGGAUGACGGCCUCGGUUGUAA